GUCCUCUAAAGCAACUUCCGUGGGUGCCAGGUUGUGGGCUGGGGGCGGUGCUGACCUUGAGAGAGCGGAGGAGGCGCAGGCGCAGCACAGUUUAAACUUGAUUUUGUGAGGGGACGAACAGCGUGACAAUUAAAAGAAGAUCUGGGAAUCAUCCAAUGUGAUAAUUUAUGUGAAAUCUUUCUGCAAACUAUACAGUAUGAUAAAAAUAUAAGGUAGUUUCACUGGAAACAACAGAAGACUAGAAGCUGAUGUGACGUGGCAAUAUCAACCAGGAAUACCCAUCUCGAGUUCUGGAUAUGUGCUCUGAGAAGGUGCCCAUGUCACCGACCACACUGGAGGCCAAUGCAGAUACUGGGGGAAGGUUCCAUGGUAGCUAAGUGUGGACAAGCUAAUCACUGAAGUUCCCUGAUGCAGAGUUGAUAAUCUCUCUAGAGUUGGAUGAAAGACUGUGCUGCCUUGAAGCUCUGAGAGAUGCCAUGCCAAUUCAAGGCAGGGUCUUUAUUGUUGAAACUCUUGCGUAAUGACAUCUUUAUUCAGGUGAAAAUACAGGAUGAAUUUCAACUAUAUGAUAUUGUUUAUGUUCCUCAGACAUGUUAUUUGUCUUUACAAAGAUUGGUUUCAAUAAACUGUGUGACUGAUAUUAAAUAAACAUGGAAUUUUACACAUUCAUAAUAUUUGGUUUCU
rnacentral:lncRNA from 1 species